CAGCGCCGCUGCUGCUUACUGGCCUUACAAAAGAUUGAAUUUCCAGUUGUGCAAUUUCCAAGGUCUGAAUUUUCAAAAAAUGACUUCAGAGUUUUGCAUCAAAAUAUGUAUCUGCUUGUGCAGUCAGCUGCAUAUGAAACUAUGGAGCUGCAUUUGCAAAUCUGAUGACAGCAAACUGGGAGGCAUUGCAAGCCCUUUGAGGCUGGGAUUAGAAUUCAAAAUGACCUUGACAAAUUGGAGAAUUGGUCUGAAAUCAAUAAGAUGAAAUUAAAAAAGGCAAGUACAAAAUAUCUCACUUACAAAGGAAAAAUCAAAUGCACAA